AUGAACGCUGGCGGCGUGCCUAAUACCUGCCAGUCGAGCGAACGGACGAGAAGCUUGCUUCUCUGAUGUUAGCGGCGGACGGGUGAGUAACACGUGGAUAACCUACCUAUAAGACUGGGAUAACUUCGGGAAACCGGAGCUAAUACCGGAUAAUAUUUUGAACCGCAUGGUUCAAAAGUGAAAGACGGUCUUGCUGUCACUUAUAGGUGGAUCCGCGCUGCAUUAGCUAGUUGGUAAGGUAACGGCUUACCAAGGCAACGAUGCAUAGCCGACCUGAGAGGGUGAUCGGCCACACUGGAACUGAGCCACGGUCCAGACUCCUACGGGAGGCAGCAGUAGGGAAUCUUCCGCAAUGGGCGAAAGCCUGACGGAGCAACGCCGCGUGAGUGAUGAAGGUCUUCGGAGCGUAAAACUCUGUUAUGAGGGAAGAACAUAUGUGUAAGUAACUGUGCACAUCUUGACGGUACCUAAUCAGAAAGCCACGGCUAACUACGUG
rnacentral:rRNA from 1 species